GAGCGAAGUCUUUGAUUCCCCGCUGCCAAGAAAAGCUUCUAGCGAGAUAAAAGGUGCCUGUACCGCAAACCGACACAGGUAGGCGAGGAGAGAAUCCUAAGGUGUGCGAGAGAACUCUGGUUAAGGAACUCGGCAAAAUGACCCCGUAACUUCGGGAGAAGGGGUGCUUUCUUAACGGAAAGCCGCAGUGAAUAGGCCCAAGCGACUGUUUAGCAAAAACACAGCUCUCUGCGAAGCCGUAAGGCGAAGUAUAGGGGGUGACACCUGCCCGGUGCUGGAAGGUUAAGGAGAGGGGUUAGCGUAAGCGAAGCUCUGAACUGAAGCCCCAGUAAACGGCGGCCGUAACUAUAACGGUCCUAAGGUAGCGAAAUUCCUUGUCGGGUAAGUUCCGACCCGCACGAAAGGUGUAACGAUUUGGGCACUGUCUCAACCAGAGACUCGGUGAAAUUAUAGUACCUGUGAAGAUGCAGGUUACCCGCGACAGGACGGAAAGACCCCGUGGAGCUUUACUGUAGCCUGAUAUUGAAUUUUGGUACAGUUUGUACAGGAUAGGCGGGAGCCAUUGAAACCGGAGCGCUAGCUUCGGUGGAGGCGCUGGUGGGAUACCGCCCUGACUGUAUUGAAAUUCUAACCUACGGGUCUUAUCGACCCGGGAGACAGUGUCAGGUGGGCAGUUUGACUGGGGCGGUCGCCUCCUAAAGUGUAACGGAGGCGCCCAAAGGUUCCCUCAGAAUGGUUGGAAAUCAUUCGUAGAGUGCAAAGGCAUAAGGGAGCUUGACUGCGAGACCUACAAGUCGAGCAGGGACGAAAGUCGGGCUUAGUGAUCCGGUGGUUCCGCAUGGAAGGGCCAUCGCUCAACGGAUAAAAGCUACCCCGGGGAUAACAGGCUUAUCUCCCCCAAGAGUCCACAUCGACGGGGAGGUUUGGCACCUCGAUGUCGGCUCAUCGCAUCCUGGGGCUGUAGUCGGUCCCAAGGGUUGGGCUGUUCGCCCAUUAAAGCGGUACGCGAGCUGGGUUCAGAACGUCGUGAGACAGUUCGGUCCCUAUCCGUCGUGGGCGUAGGAAAUUUGAGAGGAGCUGUCCUUAGUACGAGAGGACCGGGAUGGACGCACCGCUGGUGUACCAGUUGUUCUGCCAAGGGCAUAGCUGGGUAGCUAUGUGCGGAAGGGAUAAGUGCUGAAAGCAUCUAAGCAUGAAGCCCCCCUCAAGAUGAGAUUUCCCAUAGCGUAAGCUAGUAAGAUCCCUGAAAGAUGAUCAGGUUGAUAGGUUCGAGGUGGAAGCAUGGUGACAUGUGGAGCUGACGAAUACUAAUAGAUCGAGGACUUAACCAU
rnacentral:rRNA from 2 species